CAGAAGCAACGAUCGUCGCCCCGUUCCCGGUGGAGGCACUGCAACAUGGUCGUGGAGC
rnacentral:ribozyme from 1 species